AGCAUGUUGAAAUGUGUGUUUAGUGGAAACGUACCUCUUACUGUAAGCUGUGAAAUAUGUUUCCAAGUGAGCAACCAUCUAAAUUGUUUUCUCCCUAUGAGAUUAUGAGCUCCUUCGAGAUAUAUGCCCAGUGGCUUUUGUUUUUUGACUGGCAUUGGAAUCCUGGUUGUGCUACCCCUUGGACCUUGGGAAUAAUGCAUACUACCUUUCUGGGAUUUGCACCUUAACACAGCCUGAGUAUGGAAUUAUUUGAGAAAGAAGACAAAAGAUAGUCAGAUGGAGUGCCCAGGUGUCCCCUUUAUUACCGAUGAAGCUGAUGUUUGGAGAAUAUGAACAACAGUGGGAUUCCUAUUAUCAUACUGCAGAAUCAGACCUCUCAGCCAGCCAUGGGCGGUGCCAGGUCCGAGAAGGCCUCCCCACAUGGGGGCUGCCCCGUACCACUUCCAGAAUGGAGGAGCAGAGCAGAACGCCACCUUCCAGUGUUAGAGAAGAGCUACACAUGUCUCUAUCUCUCCCUGUACCUGC